rnacentral:misc_RNA from 1 species
GAUGAAGAACGUAGCGAAAUGCGAUAAGUAAUGUGAGUUGCAGAAUUCAGUGAAUCAUCGAGUCUUUGAACGCACAUUGCGCCCCCUGGUAUUCCGGGGGGCAUGCCUGUCCGAGCGUCAUUGCCGCCCUCAAGCACGGCUUGUGUGUUGGGCCCCCGCCCCCCGGCUUCGGGGGGCGGGCCCGAAAGGCAGCGGCGGCACCGCGUCCGGUCCUCGAGCGUAUGGGGCUUCGUCACCCGCUUUGUAGGCCCGGCCGGCGCCCGCCGGCGACCCCAAUCAAUCUUUCCAGGUUGACCUCGGAUCAGGUAGGGAUACCCGCUGAACUUAAGCAUAUCAAUAAGCGGAGGA